CUUCCAGAUUUUUCUCCUUUUUCUCUAUACCUAAACAAAAUCGCUUAGACCUAGCCACCCAUCCCAAUUUCGCCCCAACCACACACUAAUCUCGCCGCUGCCACCGUCGAAGCUAGAUGUAGGUACUAACCAUGUCGCUGGCCCCAAUUUCUUCCUCCGUCACUUGCCACAAUUUUGUCCUCUGUUACAUGCUUCUCGUUUCGCCUACCUGUAGAGGGCUUUCUCUCAAUUGUUGAAGCUGGCCCCUUCUUCUUCACUGUGGCUCGGCGUCGCCACCAUAAGACCCCUAAUCAUGGCUUUCGGGUAAAUCUCUCUUUGCAUCUCUAUCUUCCUCGCUUACAUUUCCAGAUUCUGUAUCGAAAUCUAAUUCAUUCAACUUUAUCAAAAAAAAAAAGAUCUCUCAUUCAAUAGCUUCAAGAGUAUCAUGUUCCGAUCCACGGUAUUGUUCGAUCUAUAGGAAGAACAAGACGAUUUCCUGAAUAAUCAUUUCAGAAAGGAGGAAAGAAGAAGGCGUGAGUAACAGAUUCCCUGAAUAAUCAUUUCAGAUUUUGUUUUUAACAUCUGUAUAUUGAAAAAAAAUGUGUUCUAAAUCUCCAAGAAGGAUUGGUAUGACAGUGUAGGCUAGUGCUACAUUCACCAGCAAGAAUGUUGGGAAGAAGCUUGUUUCCAGGGCUCAUGGUACCAAGGUAUGGAAGCAAGGGAAAAAACCAAAUCUUAAACCCCAUCAAAUUACUUCCAGCUGCUACCAAAUGACCUUCCUCUCGAUUUAAUUAACACUAUAACCUCAAGUUUUGUGAAUAGAAAAACGUCUAUUGAUUAAGACCACCACUAGGUAACUAGAAACUCUUCAUUCAAGAGAAUGGCUCUGCUUUCAUGUUCGAAGAGAGAUCUAUUAAUAAGAUGGUUGUUGGCAUUCUCUCUUCUUCAUGCACCAUCAAAAGUGUGUUCUUGUAGACACUCAAGAUGUUGGUAAUAACUGUAAGGUCACAGCUUUUAUUGGAGGUAUAGAUCUUUGUGAUGGCCGCUAUGACACACCUGAUCUUGAAACUGUGUUUAAGGAUGAUUUUCACAAUCCUACAUUUCCUGCUGGUACUAAGGAUCCAAAACAAUCUUAGCAUGAUUUGCACUGAAUGAUAGAUGGGCAUGCGGUCAAUGCAAGAAGGACGUCAUUGUAAGGAGGACAUAGAGAACAUGAUAUGGAAAUGGCAACAAUAGUCUAGAGUAUUGGAUUAAACUUAGCUAGGGCGGAUAAUGACCAAGCGAUCUUCCUCUUCCAACCUCUUCUUCUAUGAACUACAAAGUGAUGAUUUCAAGGUAAAAGUUAUGGCUGAUGGCACGUGAAUGCUUUGUUUAGGCGGUAAGAUUUAGAAAAGAAAAUUUGUUUGAUCAAGUUAGUUGAUUGUGUUUAGUAGAAUAUGUGAUUGUCGAUAGGGGAAGUUUGUUUCUCUUUGCCCCUUAUCUCAUAAAUUAGUACUCUUGUUAUUUAAGAGUCGUUGAUGUAUUUAUAUAAGAUUUGGUUUGGAUUAGUCUUUUGUAAGACUUUAUGUUUUUAAUAGAUUUUCUAUGAAAUAAAAAUAUAUUUAAAUA